GACGAACGCUGGCGGCGUGCUUAACACAUGCAAGUCGAACGGAAAGGCCCUGCUUUUGUGGGGUGCUCGAGUGGCGAACGUGUGAGUAACACGUGUGUAACCUGCCCUUGACUUUGGUAUAACUUCGGGACACUGUGGCUAAUACCGGAUAGGAGCUCCUGCUGCAUGGUGGGGGUUGGAAAGUUUCGGCGGUUGGUGAUGGACUCGCGGCUUAUCAGCUUGUUGGUGGGGUAGUGGCUUACCAAGGCUUUGACGGGUAGCCGGCCUGAGAGGGUGACCGGCCACAUUGGGACUGAGAUACGGCCCAGACUCCUACGGGAGGCAGCAGUGGGGAAUAUUGCACAAUGGGCGGAAGCCUGAUGCAGCAACGCCGCGUGCGGGAUGACGGCCUUCGGGUUGUAAACCGCUGUCGCCUGUGACGAAGCGUGAGUGACGGUAAUGGGUAAAGAAGCACCGGCUAACUACGUG
rnacentral:rRNA from 1 species